UUUGACAUUCUCAACCGUCGGAUCUUGCUACUGGACGUCUCAGAUCGUCACUUGGUCCCGAACUGUUUUACCGUUCCGUCCCGCACUUCCCGUCCGGCUCGUCAUUAUUGGGCUGCUUCUCCGGGGAUCGAGUUAGACAACUUCCGGUUAAACGGGCCGAUUUAAUGUCGAAGCUGCUGAUUUGUGAUGGGCCACCACACUAAAAACUUAUUUUUUGGCCUGUAGCUACGCUCUCGGAUGAUUUUCUAGCCCAACUUAGUUUUCUGCGCCUUUCUCCUUCCGUCAGGCCGCCGUCUCUUCCGCUGCUCCUCCUUCGCUGCAGUGCAAAGCAACAAAAUCGCGAUACCUCGCUCGAAAUAAAAUUCGCAAGAUGAAAAGCGGCGAAGUAAUGGUGAUGAAGAUCGUCCGUCUCCCUCCCGUUACUGUUACUAGGAGUUAAGGAUUUGUCCAAUUGGAGAUGGAUUUGGCAUGAUGGCCUCAAGAUGCAGCGGCCAUUCGAUUCCCCUUUUGCGAUUCCUCACCUCGAUCUGUCUUCCCAAUCCGAUAGGUUUGAUCCAUAUUGCUAUUUAUUCUCUUUAUUUAUGUACGCUGUAUCGACAGGAUCAGGGAUGGGCGUGGACACCUCCAGCUUCAUGGCGCUCCAGAGUACUUACUCCAUAGGAAGAUGAUGCAGGUCAAGCGCCAGAUCCCAUCUGCUCACCUCGCCAUUAUUAAGGAGAAGGUGUCGGCAAUCUUCAUUACGACAACAUUACCCAGUAGACCAUGUGGACCUUAGUGUUGCUACUUCCUUUCAAUCCGUUUGAUAAUGGUCUGAUAUCCUGUAUAUAGUUCUACAUCAGUUCAUAUGGCAUAUAUCUAUGAGAAAAGUUUCUUUUGUCUACAUAGCACAUUGCUGCCCAGUUUUAGAAGCUGCAUAAGCAUUUGGUGUAACAUAACCAUUCAUGUUUUGACAUAUUGCUUUGGA